rnacentral:rRNA from 1 species
CCUACGGGGGGCAGCAGUAGGGAAUUUUCCACAAUGGGCGAAAGCCUGAUGGAGCAACGCCGCGUGCAGGAUGAAGGCCUUCGGGUUGUAAACUGCUUUUGUUUGUGACGCGGUAACAAGCGAAUAAGGGUCUGCUAACUACGUGCCAGCAGCCGCGGUCAUACGUGGGACCCAAGCGUUAUCCGGAAUUACUGGGCGUAAAGAGUGCGUAGGUGGCGGAGUAAGUAGGUAGUGAAAUUGUGUGGCUCAACCAUACACCCAUUAUCUAAACUGCUCAGCUAGAGCAUGGAAGAGGUAGCUGGAAUUUCUAGUGUAGGAGUGAAAUCCGUAGAUAUUAGAAGGAACACCGAUGGCGUAGGCAGGCUACUGGUCCAUGUGACACUAAGGCACGAAAGCGUGGGGAGCGAACUGGAUUAGAUACCCUUGUAGUC